UAUACGCAUGCGUGAUAAGAUGAUUAAGCAUGGAUGAUUAAGAGGAUCAGCAUGGCCGUUGCGCAAGGAUGACACGCAAAUUCGUGAAGCGUUCUCAAUUUGU